rnacentral:tRNA from 1 species
GGCGGCGUGGCCGAGUGGUUUAGGGCGUUGGAUUUGAAAUCUGGAGGUCCCUGGUUCAAAUCAUCCACCUGCCACUA